rnacentral:rRNA from 1 species
GUCGUAACAAGGUUUCCGUAGGUGAACCUGCGGAAGGAUCAUUGACACAAAACAAUUUUUUUUUUCGUGCAAACGGAAAAAAAAAAAAAACUUUCCACCGCGUAUGCAGAACCUCGCCGAGUGGCUUUCAAGUCACAUCCGCGUUGUGUAUUCCGCUACUCAAUAAACUUUUAUUUUUCACCCACACACCAACCCUCGUUUGAAGCGUUUUCUAAAAAACGCAACAAAAAUAAAAACCAAAAGAUUUACCUUUCAACGAUGGAUCUCUUGGUUCCCGCAACGAUGAAGAACGCCGCGAAACGCGAUAUGUAAUGUGAAUUGCAGGAUUAAGUGAAUCAUCAAAUCUUUGAACGCAAAUUGCUGCUCGGGCCCUUGCGGCUUGAGCAUACCUGCUUCAGACUCGUUUAACAAAAUAAAAUAAAUUAUGCUGAGCGUUGCAAGCUUGCUUGGAUCGCUUCAAGAGCUAAACCAACAUGGGCCCGCUGAAUUUCAGAGGCACUGAGGUAAUUUAAAACUACCAAGGUGUCCUUCCGAAUGGGCCUCUCAAAAUACAGCUAGAGCUGAAGUCAGGCAAGAGGACCGGCUGAAUUUAAGCAUAUUACUAAGCCGAGGAAAAGAAACAAACUUGGAUUCCCCCAGUAACGGCGAGUGAAGCGGGACCAGCUCAACUUGAAAACCUGCCGCGCCCCGCGGUCGGAUUGUAGCCUGGGUGUGGGCCCUGGAGGUUGCGUCCGGUGUAAUUCGGUAUUGAGAUACCGAGCCGGAGAGGGUAACAGCCCCGUCACGUCGGAACGCACCUUCGCCUGGGCCCCUACCCGUGAGUCGUGUUGCUUGGGACUGCAGCGCCAAUCCGGAGGUAAUGUCCUUCGAAAGCUAAAUAUUUGCGGGAGACCGAUAGCGAACAAGUACCGUGAGGGAAAGAUGAAAAGAACUUUGAAAAGAAAGUGAAAUAGUACGUGAAAUCGUUGGAAGCAAGCGAAUCACUCUUCCUUCCCGUCGGCGGGCUCGCCCCGCCGCUCGGGGGCACGAUCGGUCUCUGGUCGGCUACGCGGCACGCCAACGGCUUCGGUCGCGGCGCUCUGCCCAGCCUUCCGGGGGCCGAGGCCAACCUACUUGCGGCGCGCCCUGCGUCUCCGGACGCUGCGCGCCCAGGAUCGUGCCUUGCUACCGGAGUGAUCCGACCCGUCUUGAAACACGGACCAAGGAGUCUAACAUGUGUGCGAGUGUUUGGGUGGCAAACCCCAACGCGCAGGUAACCCGAGAUUGCCCGAGCCCUUCACCGGGCGCAAGGCAGGCAGCGCGUUGACCUUCUGGUCGAUGCCUAGCAGGAGCAUACAUGCUGGGACCCGAAACAUGGUGAACUAUGCGUGA